rnacentral:rRNA from 1 species
UACGUAGGCAGCAAGCGUUGUUCGGAGUUACUGGGCGUAAAGGGUGUGUAGGCGGUUCUUUAAGUUUGGUGUGAAAUCUCCCGGCUCAACUGGGAGGGUGCGCCGAAUACUGAGGGACUAGAGUACGGGAGAGGAGAGUGGAAUUCCUGGUGUAGCGGUGAAAUGCGCAGAUAUCAGGAAGAACACCCGUGGCGAAGGCGGCUCUCUGGAACGCAACUGACGCUGAGACGCGAAAGCGUGGGGAGCAAACAGG